AGGCAUCUAGAGAUGACUUUACAGCUCACAGGCUAUCUCACUGACAUCAUCCCAGGGAGGCAGCUUUGUGGUGCGUGAUCUGGGGUAGAGUUUUUGCAUUCACGUGUUCCUGGGUUUGAAUCCCAGCUCUGCCACUUGGAGGCUGUGUGUCCAUGGGCAAGUCGCUUGACUGCUCUGAGGCCCAGAAUCCUCACCUGUUACAUGAGUGUGCUAGUAGCUGUCCCCACUUUAUAGGUUAUAGCGGAAGUUCUGUGACAUAAUACAUUCACAGCACUUUGCCUACAGUUUAAACCCAAUUAAAUAGCUGUCAAUUACAAUGAAAAUAAACAAUAAUAAUUUAACCCCUAGUGACAUAGGUAUGAACAGUUUCAUUUUAGUAAUAAUUAUAUUUGAGGUCAGUGAAGAUGAGUGACAGGAUGGGCUCAAGACCGCACUGUUGCUAAGCGUCAGGACAGGACUUUUAUUCUGGCCUCCAACGCCUCCCCUUGUGGAGUUUCUCCCAUAACACCUCCCCCGAGGAUCUAGGAACCAAACGAACAGACUUCACAUACGAAUUGCUUAUCCACUCGGAUUCUGGAAACACCAUAAAAUCUUGCAUGACAAAAUAUAGAAUUUGUAUACUUUUCUUUUUAUUUAUAUUUUACUCAGGGGAAAUAGAAACAUAUUUUUUCAAGUUAAAUAUAAAUUAUAUCCUGUUAAAAGGAACUAAGAAAAUCAAAUAGAGAUUGUGUGAAAUGCUGAUAGUACAACUUAGUAGCAAUGAAAAAAUAACAGUCUAAGAUUCAAUUAUAAGACUUUUUAUUGAGCUAUAACAGAAAUAACAUUGUAUAUGUUUAAGGUGUACAACAUAUUGAUGUAAUACAUUUAUCUGUUGCGAUAUGAUCACCACCAUGGCUUUAGCUUACACCUCUGUCCUGUCACAUCGUUACCAUUUCUUUUUUGUGGUGAGAACAUUUAAGAUCUAGUCUCUUAGCAAUUUUGAAGUAUUUAAUACAGUGCUGUUGACCAAUUAUAAGAUUUAAUUGAGUAAAGUCAGGGAGAGUGAAUAUAUAUUGUGACAUAUGGGUUUUUCUCAUUAAAAAAAAAAAAAGAUUUCCAAAUGAGGAGGAUAUGAAAGAUUAAAUUAUUUCCUUUUUUCUUCAAAUUAUAGAUUCCAAGACUAAACCUGAGGAUCUGGCCCCAUCCCAGAAGCUGAUUUGUUUUUCAUCCCUGAUAGACAGCAUAUCUUUCUAGGGGGAGGGAAAAAAACCCAGCGUUAAAAUGAGGCCUGUUUCAGGAAGAAUGUUGACCGAUUAGUAAAACCCCACUGUAUUUAUUUGUCAAGGAGCUCUUCUCCCUGCUGAGAAGCAAAAGUUGUUGUUGCUUUUUUUUUCCCAGCAGUGUCACUGUUACAUUCCUCACCAGUGAGGAGAGAAAUGCAGCGUCGGUCCCUAGGAGCUUUCUGUCCAAACUCAGGGGAAAACUGCAUUCAUGUGGGGUGGACCCACCAGUUUCUCAGGGGUGAGCAGCUUGGCGAGAAGAAUCCUCGUGACAUUUAACAAGGUUUAAUUCAGCUUACGGCUGAAGCAGCUCGGGCGUGUAAAUUGCAGGAAGCGCCCCAGAACGAAAGAUGCUCCCUCGGAAGCUUUGUCAGGAAGGGGUGGUAUCAAGGCUCAUAAAUUGCCCAGUGGCUUUUCAGGAGUUUAUGAGCUCCCAGGCCUCCUCCACAAUAGGUUGCAAGAAGACUCUUAACACCUCAUUAAGGUUGCUUUUUACCAAAUGCUAAUAAUAAAAGGGAGCCCUAAAAGCCUGCCUCAUUUUUAUUCAGAAUCCUCUCCUCUGGAAUAUAAAAAGAUGUCAUAAAAUGGAAAUACAAUGGGGAGCCCAGAUCUUGGGUAGACUCAUUAAAAUUUUCAUGUUGACAGGAAUUUGGGGAAGUCAAGGCUGCACCCCUGGGGUGGGAAACUGUCUUCUCCUCCUGGCAAAGCUGCCUUCAGUCUCUGGAGAAAUGCAAUGCCAGUGAGGGCCCUAAUCCCUAAACUGCUUCAUCUCCAACUGCAGAAUAUUAUUAUUAUUAUUAUUUUGGGGUGUUUUUUUGGUGAGGAACAUUGGUCCUGAGCUAACAUCUGUUGCCAAUCUUCCUCUUUUUGCUUGAGGAAGAUUGUCACUGAGCUAACAUGUGUGCCCGUCUUCCUCUAUUUUAUGUGAGUUGCUGCCACAGCAUGGCUGGAUGAGGGGUGCUGGGUCCUUGGCCGGGAUGAGAACCUGCAAACACUGGGCCACCGAAGCGGAACACUCAAAUUUAACCACUAUGCUACCAGGCCAGCCCCUCCAACUACAGAAUAUUAUUUUGAACUUUUUCUUUCUGAUCAUAACACAGCUUUGCCACUGGGCCUUUUCAUGAGCUGUCUCUGAAGCCCUUUUAUUUAUCGUAUAGUCUAUGGCAUCUCUUAGGGCCAAAACUAAAAUAUGUAUAAAAAGAAGAGUAUAUUCAAAAAUCCAGGCAGUGAAAAGUUGGUGCACGUGAGCCCUGGGAGCUGGUCUUGCUUCUGGAGAUUCGGGUACGAGACUAUGCAGCUCAACGUUGAACUUGGACCUCCCCCAGCUGGAGAGCCAGUCGCUAUCCAGCUGUGUGGCCCCGGAAUGGGGCCUCCCUUCUCUGCGCCCUGCCUCCUACUGUGCAAACUAAGAUGCGAGCAGCAGUGCCUGCCUCUGAAAUGGGUUCUGAGGAUGGACUGGAAUGAUGCGUAAAACGCUCGGGCGGAGCCUGGCUGACAGAAAGCCUUCAGUGAACUGUACUUAGCAUUCAUUCACUCGUUCAUGCAAGAAACAUCGCAGGGCACCUGUUUGGUGCCUAACACUGUUCCAUCAUCAAACACACACCAAGUCCGUACCCUCCCGGGCUGACCUUUGAGUAACCGUGCUCCAAGUCCAGGAAGGCGAGGCCAGGUGGGAUCUAAUCACUGCUCCGCUCCCUGCCAGGACGAGACUACAGUGACUCCCUCAAGUUCUGGGCUGAAGGGGCCCCCAGGAAGCACGGGCCUUUCCUUGGUUAGACCAGAGUUUCUCAACCUCAGCUAUUGACACGCUAUUGACAUUCGUGGGGGGCUGUGGGGUACAUUAUAGAAUGCUUAGCAGCAUUCUUGGCCUCUAACCACCAGAUGCCAGUAGCACCUGCCCCCGCCAAGCUCUGACAACGACAAUGUCUCCAGACAUCGGCCACAGGUCCCCUGGGGGCAAAAUUGCCCGGUGGCGUAGCGGCUAAGUUUGUGCGCUCCAGCUUUGGCAGCCUGGGGUUCACCAGUUCAGAUCCCAGGCACAGACCUAGCACCGCUGGUCAGGCCACACUAUGGUGGCAUCCCACAUAAAAUAGAGGAAGAUUGGCACAGAUGUUAGCUCAAAGUCAAUAUUCCUCACACAAAAAAACAAAAACAAAAAA
ensembl:lncRNA